rnacentral:lncRNA from 1 species
GACGCAGCUGAGCUUCCACAGCUCCCUCCCUCUCCUCGGCCUAUCUAUCUAUCUAUCUAUCCCACCGAGCAAAGAGGAGAAGGGGUAGCAAAUCUACUACUACUAUCAGUACCUUGUUUGUGUGCUUGCUUGGGGAUCGAGAAGCUGGUACCAUGGCUUUCCUCAACAUGGAGCAGCACACCUGGGCCUUCACCUUUGGCAUCCUAGGUACAUACACUACACACAUUCAUCCAUGAUC